rnacentral:rRNA from 1 species
AUUGAACGCUGGCGGCAGGCCUAACACAUGCAAGUCGAGCGGAUGAAGGGAGCUUUCUCCUGUAUUCAGCGGCGGACGGGUGAGUAAUGCCUAGGAAUCUGACUGGCAGUUGGGGAUAACGUCCGGAAACGGGCGCUGAUACCGCAUACGUCCAGAGGGUGAAAGUGGGGGAUCUUCGGACCUCACGCUAUCAGAUGACCCUAGGCCGGAUUAGCUAGUUGGUGGGGUAAAGGCCUACCAAGGCGACGAUCCGUAACUGGUCUGAGAGGAUGAUCAGUCACACUGGAACUGAGACACGGUCCAGACUCCUACGGGAGGCAGCAGUGGGGAAUAUUGGACAAUGGGCGAAAGCCUGAUCGAGCCAUGCCGCGUGUGUGAAGAAGGUCUUCGGAUUGUAAAGCACUGUUAGUUGGGAGGAAGGGAAGUAAAUUAAAACCUGGCUGUUUUGACGUUACCAACAGAGAAAGCACCGGCUAACUUCGUG